GGCUGGGUCAACCACAUUUUAGC
rnacentral:siRNA from 1 species